UCCAGGGUAGCCUAGUGGAUAUGGCAUCUGCCCAGUAAGCAGAACACUGUGGGUUCGAUUCUCAUUCCUGGAC
rnacentral:tRNA from 1 species